CACGUAGGGUGCGAGCGUUGUCCGGAAUCAUUGGGCGUAAAGAGCUCGUAGGCGGUGUGUCGCGUCGGCUGUGAAAACCUGCAGCUUAACUGUGGGCUUGCGGUCGAUACGGGCAUCACUGGAGUUCGGCAGGGGAGGCUGGAAUUCCUGGUGUAGCGGUGAAAUGCGCAGAUAUCAGGAGGAACACCGGUGGCGAAGGCGGGUCUCUGGGCCGAUACUGACGCUGAGGAGCGAAAGCGUGGGGAGCGAACAGG
rnacentral:rRNA from 1 species